GACGAACGCUGGCGGCGUGCUUAACACAUGCAAGUCGAACGAAAAUACCAAGCUUGCUUGGUUGAUUAGUGGCGAACGGGUGAGUAACACGUGAGUAACCUGCCCCUUACUUUCCUGGAUAACUGCUCGAAAGGGUAGCUAAUACGGGAUAUUCUGACUAGCCUGCAUGGGUUGGUUUGGAAAGGUUGUUUUUCUGGUAAGGGAUGGGCUCGCGGCCUAUCAGCUUGUUGGUGGGGUGAUGGCCUACCAAGGCUUUGACGGGUAGCCGGCCUGAGAGGGUGGACGGUCACACUGGGACUGAGAUACGGCCCAGACUCCUACGGGAGGCAGCAGUGGGGAAUAUUGCACAAUGGGCGCAAGCCUGAUGCAGCGACGCCGCGUGAGGGAUGAAGGCCUUCGGGUUGUAAACCUCUUUCGUCAGGGAACAAGGCACUACGUUUUGGUGGUGUUGAGGGUACCUGGAUAAGAAGCGCCGGCUAACUACGUGCCAGCAGCCGCGGUAAUACGUAGGGCGCAAGCGUUGUCCGGAAUUAUUGGGCGUAAAGAGCUCGUAGGCGGCUGGUCGCGUCUGUCGUGAAAACUUCCGGCUCAACCGGGGGCUUGCGGUGGGUACGGGCCGGCUAGAGUGCGGUAGGGGUAACUGGAACUCCUGGUGUAGCGGUGGAAUGCGCAGAUAUCAGGAAGAACACCGAUGGCGAAGGCAGGUUACUGGGCCGUUACUGACGCUGAGGAGCGAAAGCGUGGGGAGCGAACAGG
rnacentral:rRNA from 1 species